CAAAGCUUGGUUGUCAGUGACUGUAUGUUAAUGAAGACUGAAUUAAAUAAUUAAAUAUUAAAGUAUACAGAAAUGGUCAAUUCUGAGAUUAAAAAAAAAAAUCAUAAUUCUUGGGAAAAGGGGAGGGAAGGCUAUUCCAUAGGUGGGAGGAUGAGAGGAAUCAUGAAACCUAAAUGACAUCUUUAUAAGUGUUUUUCUGCAAGGAGAUCAUGUGUUUUUCUGAAAGGAGAAAUGUUCACCUAUUGCUGCUUUGUGGAAAUUGUGACAAGAAAGUACACUUUUUCAGGGAAACACCUUCACAUCACAGAAGGGAUAUCCCUAAUGAAAAGGCAGAUAAAAUGCAUUUUGACCCAAAGACCAUUAUUUCUUUGUAGUCUCCAUGACUUUUUUUGACGUGAUGGGAAUGAUGACUGCAGAACAUCUAAAAGCCAGCUUUGCCUUUGAGCUACUUUUCUUUUGUUUAAGCUAUAGGAGGAUCUGCUCUGAUUAUAUCUCAGAAGAACAGAUUGAAUUCCAAUUGAAACCUUCAAUAAGGCCUGAGUUAUAGGCAAGAUUAUGAAAUCUCUGGUAUUCUACAUGCUCAGAACAAAAUCUCCAACAUGCCCACUUCAAUAGCUUGCGCAAAAUUAAACGAACAAAAACAUAACACUGGAUUUUGAAGGAUGUCCUUCUACAAAUUUCCACCACAAACCUUGUGUUUGAGUUCAGACUGUAAAAAACAUAUAUGAAAUGACAACAAACGUCUUUUUAGUAUGGAAACGUGCUCAUUUUAAGCAGUUGGAAAUACAUGAAAAAAAUCAUGAAAGUAACUGAAAUACCUGCCAUUGCUCCCUUCCUAAAAAUCUAAGCCAAAAUGAUUGUACUGGAGUAUUUAAUUUGCUAAGGGAAAAAAAUAAAAGAGAAAAAAGUGUGUUGAACUUAGAUUUACAUACUGUAGCUGCUUGCUUGAUCUCCUCUAGAGAUCACAGCUUGAGUUCUUCCAUGAAAAAUGUUCUCUCCACCACGUCUGACAGUCUAAACCUGGCAACACUCUACCUGCUGAGUACAACCCUCCAGGUAUGCAGAAGAUAGAAGGAUAAGUCCUCAGCAGGUCUUUUUAUUGUUUAUUUUUGUAGCAGCAAAACCCAAAACUUUUGUGCAUCCACGUAUUCUAUAAGUCCAAACUGAAAUUAAUCACACUGGUUUUGGAAGAUAAGAAAUUGUGUCGCUUCCUGGCCAGCUGGAUUUUAUUGGAUUUGGAGAUAAAUA
ensembl:lncRNA